AAUCAUCAACCUCACCGGCUUUGUUGCUUUGGUGUAGGCUUGGAUUUGGGGAUUAUUGCGGGCCUUCCUCAGGGGGGUCGGCUUCCCUUGAAUGUAUUAGUCGGAUUUGCCCUCCGUAUCCGAGCGGUGUGAUAAAACGUCAUUCAUCGAUCGGCGGUGGCUGUGUUCGGCUUCUAACCGUCGCCUCAGGCGACAAGCUUUCUUGACUCA
rnacentral:misc_RNA from 2 species